rnacentral:tRNA from 2 species
UGGGGGAUCGUCUAGUGGUAGGACACAAGAUUCUGGAUCUUGCUACCGAGGUUCGAAUCCUUGUCCCCCAGCCA